CUUCCUUUCUUCCUCCCUCCCUUCUUCCCUUCCCUCUCCCUUCCUUAUGUCCUUCUUUCUUUCCUCAUUCUAUGCUUCAAAGGGCAGAGCUGAGCCCAGAGGCCUUAGUUCCCAGCUUAGCCCCAGGAAGGGCUUCCUGACAGCUAAAGCUGCCGGGAAAGUUCCCACCCUCCAGUGGCUCCAGUAGGGGCAGCUGACAGGAAAGAAGGGGACAGAAGGGCCUCCUGGCUGGGUGAAAGGCUGGCCCUCCAAUGGCAGGGCCCCUGGGCCUAGGCUGCGCGCUUUGUGAUCGUUAGCCGCUUGGGUGGCUCUCCAGCUGCCCGGGGCGCUCUCCCCAAAUCUCAGGUUACAAGAAGACAAUGUUCUCCAAAAACAAUCAGAGGACCAAGCCUGGGCCAACGCAAACAGUGGCGGGAGCCACUGAAGUUGCUGCGGGACAUUCAGGCUGCGGGCGCCUCAUGAUUGGGGUUCCCUUUAAACCUCCCCACAAAUUGCCUGCCUCUAGAGUCCCUACACACUCACCCAAGGACCAGCCGCUAGUAAGAAACGGGCUGGCUCCAGGUCCAGCCUGCUAUCAUCCCAUUUGCUCCUCAAAGCACUGCUCUGAGGUCUUACCAUUUCCUGUCUCCCUUCUAUUCAACUGAUUGCAAGAAAAAAGUCCUAGAAAAGAUCAGAUGCUUCCAAAAGUCCCCUGACGAGAUGUGGAUCACUACUGUGAAACCGUGGUCCUGUCUGACCCUUUUAAGUUUGGGGGAAGGGCCCAGUUAUGUGAUAUUAUCCAUUUAAGGCUCUCCGCUGACUUGCCCAAGGUCACACAGGCAGCAUGUGCCAUCCAGGUCACCUGGGUCUAAGGCCCGCCCCUCAAAUCAAAAGGUGUGGAGAUGGGCCUUAGAGUGAAACUGUGUCCUCAACUUGGUUAAAAAGUUUUUAGAGGGAUAAGGCUGGCAGAGGAGGGCACCAGGUGGCCACAACCUGUUCAUUUUACUGGGAUGUAACCAGAAUGAUCAAAUAAAUCUCUUCUGGAAUAAAA